UUACCUGGCCUUGACAUACUAAGAACUUUCCAGAGAUGGAUUGGUGCCUUCGGGAACUUAGAUACAGGUGCUGCAUGGCUGUCGUCAGCUCGUGUCGUGAGAUGUUGGGUUAAGUCCCGCAACGAGCGCAACCCUUUUCCUUAUUUGCCAGCGGGUUAAGCCGGGAACUUUAAGGAUACUGCCAGUGACAAACUGGAGGAAGGCGGGGACGACGUCAAGUCAUCAUGGCCCUUACGGCCAGGGCUACACACGUGCUACAAUGGUCGGUACAAAGGGUUGCUACCUCGCGAGAGGAUGCUAAUCUCAAAAAGCCGAUCGUAGUCCGGAUCGCAGUCUACAACUCGACUGCGUGAAGUCGGAAUCGCUAGUAAUCGCGGAUCAGAAUCGCCGCGGUGAAUACAUUCCCGGGCCUUGUACACACCGCCCGUCACACCAUGGGAGUUUGUUGCACCAGAAGUAGGUAGUCUAACCGCAAGGAGGACGCUUACCACGGUGUGGCCGAUGACUGGGGUGAAGUCGUAACAAGGUAAGCGUAGAUGA
rnacentral:rRNA from 1 species